GACGAACGCUGGCGGCGUGCCUAACACAUGCAAGUCGAACGCUGAAGCUCAGCUUUUGUUGGGUGGAUGAGUGGCGAACGGGUGAGUAACACGUGAGUAACCUGCCCCCUUCUUUGGGAUAACGCCCGGAAACGGGUGCUAAUACUGGAUAUUCACUGGUCUUCGCAUGGGGGUUGGUGGAAAGGGUUUUUCUGGUGGGGGAUGGGCUCGCGGCCUAUCAGCUUGUUGGUGGGGUGAUGGCCUACCAAGGCUUUGACGGGUAGCCGGCCGGAGAGGGUGACCGGUAAAAGUGGGAUGGAGAUACGGCCCAGACUCCGAGGGGAGGGAGCAGGGGGGAAAAUGGCCAAAGGGGGGCAAGCCUGAUGCAGCGAGGCCGCGGGGGGGGUGGGGGCCUUGGGGUUGUGAACCUUUUUCGCUCAUGGUCAAGCCGAAAAAAUGUUUGUGGUGAGGGGGGUGGGGAAAAAAGCCCCGGCAAACUAGGG
rnacentral:rRNA from 1 species